rnacentral:rRNA from 1 species
CCUACGGGAGCAGCAGUGGGGAAUUUUGGACAAUGGGCGCAAGCCUGAUCCAGCAAUGCCGCGUGCAGGAUGAAGGCCUUCGGGUUGUAAACUGCUUUUGUACGGAACGAAAAAGUCUGCCCUAAUACGGUGGGCCCAUGACGGUACCGUAAGAAUAAGCACCGGCUAACUACGUGCCAGCAGCCGCGGUAAUACGUAGGGUGCGAGCGUUAAUCGGAAUUACUGGGCGUAAAGCGUGCGCAGGCGGUUAUAUAAGACAGAUGUGAAAUCCCCGGGCUCAACCUGGGACCUGCAUUUGUGACUGUAUAGCUAGAGUACGGUAGAGGGGGAUGGAAUUCCGCGUGUAGCAGUGAAAUGCGUAGAUAUGCGGAGGAACACCGAUGGCGAAGGCAAUCCCCUGGACCUGUACUGACGCUCAUGCACGAAAGCGUGGGGAGCAAACAGGAUUAGAUACCCUGGUAGUCCACGCCCUAAACGAUGUCAACUGGUUGUUGGGUCUUCACUGACUCAGUAACGAAGCUAACGCGUGAAGUUGACCGCCUGGGGAGUACGGCCGCGAAGGUUGAAACGUUAAAGGAAAUUGAGG